rnacentral:rRNA from 1 species
AGUGAACGCUGGCGGUAGGCCUAACACAUGCAAGUCGAACGGCAGCACAGUAAGAGCUUGCUCUUACGGGUGGCGAGUGGCGGACGGGUGAGGAAUACAUCGGAAUCUACUUUUUCGUGGGGGAUAACGUAGGGAAACUUACGCUAAUACCGCAUACGACCUACGGGUGAAAGCAGGGGAUCUUCGGACCUUGCGCGAUUGAAUGAGCCGAUGUCGGAUUAGCUAGUUGGCGGGGUAAAGGCCCACCAAGGCGACGAUCCGUAGCUGGUCUGAGAGGAUGACGGGCAAAACUGGGACAGACAUACGGCCCGAAUUCCGGCGGGAGGCAGCAGUGGGGAGGAUUGCACAGUGGUCGCGAGGCGAAAGAAGCAACGCCGCGUAAGGGACGGCGGUCUUCGGGUUACAAAAAGCUUAAGCUCGGGAAGACGCGGAGCUGGCGGUCCCGGCAGAAGCGGCACCGGCUAACUACAUG